rfam:Triticum aestivum genome assembly, contig: Triticum_aestivum_CS42_TGACv1_scaffold_157916_2DL
UUCGUACUCCCUUCGUCCGGAAAUACUUGUCGCCAAAAUGGAUAGAAAUGGAUGUAUCUAGAACUAAAAUACAUUAGAACAUCUAUUUCUCCGACAAGUAUUUCCGGACAGAGGGAGUACUUU